GUCCAGCUGACGAUCCCUAAAUAGGACGAAACGCGCGUCCUGGAU
rnacentral:hammerhead_ribozyme from 1 species